UAGGGAAUCUUCCGCAAUGGGCGAAAGCUUGACGGAGCAACGCCGCGUGAGUGAUGAAGGUCUUCGGAUCGUAAAACUCUGUUAUUAGGGAAGAACAAAUGUGUAAGUAACUAUGCACGUCUUGACGGUACCUAAUCAGAAAGCCACGGCUAACUACGUGCCAGCAGCCGCGGUAAUACGUAGGUGGCAAGCGUUAUCCGGAAUUAUUGGGCGUAAAGCGCGCGUAGGCGGUUUUUUAAGUCUGAUGUGAAAGCCCACGGCUCAACCGUGGAGGGUCAUUGGAAACUGGAAAACUUGAGUGUAGAAGAGGAAAGUGGAAUUCCAUGUGUAGCGGUGAAAUGCGCAGAGAUAUGGAGGAACACCAGUGGCGAAGGCGACUUUCUGGUCUGUAACUGACGCUGAUGUGCGAAAGCGUGGGGAUCAAACAGG
rnacentral:rRNA from 1 species